UGCAGUCGAACGCCGACGCACCUUCGGGUGUUUAGGAGUGGCAGACGGGUGAGUAACGCGUGGGAACCUACCUUUAGGUACGGAAUAACGCAGGGAAACUUGUGCUAAUACCGUAUGAUCCCUUCGGGGCAAAGAUUUAUCGCCUAAAGAUGGGCCCGCGUUAGAUUAGCUAGUUGGUGAGGUAAUGGCUCACCAAGGCGACGAUCUAUAGCUGGUUUGAGAGGAUGAUCAGCCACACUGGAACUGAGACACGGUCCAGACUCCUACGGGAGGCAGCAGUGGGGAAUCUUGCACAAUGGGCGAAAGCCUGAUGCAGCCAUGCCGCGUGAGUGAAGAAGGCCUUAGGGUUGUAAAGCUCUUUCGCUAGGGAUGAUAAUGACAGUACCUAGUAAAGAAGUUCCGGCUAACUCCGUGCCAGCAGCCGCGGUAAUACGGAGGGAACUAGCGUUGUUCGGAAUUACUGGGCGUAAAGCGCGCGUAGGCGGACCAAUCAGUCAGAGGUGAAAUCCCGGGGCUUAACCUCGGAACUGCCUUUGAUACUGUUGGUCUAGAGUUCGAGAGAGGUAAGUGGAAUUCCCAGUGUAGAGGUGAAAUUCGUAGAUAUUGGGAAGAACACCAGUGGCGAAGG
rnacentral:rRNA from 1 species